rnacentral:rRNA from 1 species
CAAAAGGGGGAGGAACGGGCCGAAGCCCGAAUCAACUCGGUAACAAUUCCGUAGGUGAACCUGCGGAAGGAUCAUUACCGAAGGAUUCGGGCUCCGUCCCGAUCCUCCCACCCAUCAUGUACCUACCUCUGUUGCUUUGGCGUGCCGCGGUCCUCCGCGGCCGCCCCCCUCCCCGGGGGGGUGGCCAGCGCCCGCCAGAGGACCAUCAAACUCCAGUCAGUAAACGAUGCAGUCUGAAAAACAUUUAAUAAACUAAAACUUUCAACAACGGAUCUCUUGGUUCUGGCAUCGAUGAAGAACGCAGCGAAAUGCGAUAAGUAAUGUGAAUUGCAGAAUUCAGUGAAUCAUCGAAUCUUUGAACGCACAUUGCGCCCUUUGGUAUUCCGAAGGGCAUGCCUGUUCGAGCGUCAUUACAACCCUCAAGCUCUGCUUGGUAUUGGGCACCGUCCUUUGCGGGCGCGCCUCAAAGACCUCGGCGGUGGCGUCUUGCCUCAAGCGUAGUAGAACAUACAUCUCGCUUCGGAGCGCAGGGCGUCGCCCGCCGGACGAACCUUCUGAACUUUUCUCAAGGUUGACCUCGGAUCAGGUAGGGAUACCCGCUGAACUUAAGCAUAUCAAUAAGCGGAGGA